ACAUGGAAGCAUUUGACAAAUCCUAAGAAGAUUUCCUAUUCUAUUUCCUUGCCUGGUUAAUGCAAUUCCCGCAUCUUCUCAUCUACCCAAUGAAUAUCAUCUGCAACUACAUUACAUUCCCUAUGAGGGGGCACCUGAUAACCCAGACUAUGAAACGGAGAAAAGAAUCCAUUCCUAAUUAAACUAAAAUGCAGUCAAAACAUUGUGUUAUUUUUUUUCCCUUUUAUAAGGAUAUGCCAUAACUGUGAUAAAUUCAAGUGUGUCCGUAUCACAUUAAAUCCUGGUUUGAGUUUUUUGAUUAAUUAUUUUUUCUUUCCCCCCAGCUUUUUGAAUGUGGAUACAUGUCCAAGUUGCUGCACUAAGCAUACAGCCUUCAUCCCAUGAUGGGGAAUGGUGGAGGAUUCCAAGAAUGACCAUUAUAAACAGAAUCUUCAGCCUGUUAGGCCAGUGUGAGAAUUCUUGGUAGAGCAGCCAAUACCCACAGGAGGAGGGCACCUGUCACUCACAGGCCCUUUCUUACCUAUUAUCCCAUUAGGACCUAAAAUGCCGAAAAGUUGAAGUCCUGAAAGGCUUCUUCAAUGUCAUCUGCCAUUUCAGCACAAGGUCCUUUGGGCAGCGUUAGAUUGGCUGGCAGCUUGGUGUACUUCUCAGCAAAAUAGCUGACAUCCUCCGGUCCGUUGAGGCUGGGUACGAACGGGGCUGUUGCCUUCCCAUCAAUGAUGUCAUCCCAGGCUGUGUUCUGCAAACAGGCUGCUGUUGUUCCACAUUGGCCUCUUCGUCAUCCUCCUCAUCUUCUGCAGUGACAGUUCCCCUUUAUAUCUGGUGGCAAGGCCUCACCCUCAGGCAGGAAACAAUGGCUUUAUAUUUCCAUCAGCCUUACCUCAGUGUUUUGCUGCUGGUGCAAGAUGUUACACAGCUUGGCACCCAUCUUGAAUCUCCUGUAUCAGGAAAGAAAGAUUAGAUCUGGUUAAACUGUCUAUGGAAGAAAAAGGCAAAGGAUCACAGGUGCAUGAUGGGAAAGAGACAGCUUCCCACAGUUGAAUCCUGAGUGAGAAGGAGCCAUGUGAGUGAGGGUUUGAUGCUCGGGCCAUGCAGCACUGUAUCUGCAGCAGCGGAGGAGUUCAGUGCAACACAGAAGAACACCCCUUGCGCCUUGGUUCCUCACUCAUCAGAACCAGUGGGAUCUGUCUAUGAAAGAAAAAGGCACAGAAUCAAAGGUGCAUGAUGGGAAAGAGACAGAUUCUCACAUUUGAAACCUAAGCGAGAAGGAACCAUGUGAGCAAGUCGUAUUGAUGCUUGGGCCGUGCAGCUCAGGAGGAGUUCGGUGCGACACAGAGGAACAACCCUAGCAGACUGUACCAACAUGCCCCCUGCAGAUACAACAUUUUUGAUUUUUAAGCUCUUGGUGGGAAGAAGGAAUUAAAUGCGCACUUAACUGGAGACUGUUUAUUAAAGUAUAAUGAGGUGGGACCCCCCCCUUUGUUUGCUUGGCCCCUUCCGCUUUCCAUGAGGAAAUGACCAGACAGACAGCACAGCUUUGGGAGGAUGCAAACAGGAUUAUGGUAAGUACAGAGAAGACAAGAGCCUUUUAUCUGAAUAAAAGUUAUCUGUAAUGCCUGUAUUCAACCAACAGGAAGCCCCGCAAGAGAAACUUUG